UGGGGAAUAUUGCGCAAUGGGCGAAAGCCUGACGCAGCGACGCCGCGUGAGGGAUGAAGGUUUUCGGAUCGUAAACCUCUGUCAGAAGGGAAGAAACCGCACUGUGCUAAUCAGCAGUGCCUUGACGGUACCUUCAAAGGAAGCACCGGCUAACUCCGUGCCAGCAGCCGCGGUAAUACGGAGGGUGCAAGCGUUAAUCGGAAUUACUGGGCGUAAAGCGCACGUAGGCUGCUUUGUAAGUCAGGGGUGAAAUCCCACGGCUCAACCGUGGAACGGCCUUUGAUACUGCUUAGCUUGAAUCCGGGAGAGGGGGGCGGAAUUCCAGGUGUAGGAGUGAAAUCCCUAGAUAUCUGGGGGAACAUCAGUGGCGAAGGCGGCCACCUGGACCGGUAUUGACGCUGAGGUGCGAAAGCGUGGGGAGCAAACAGG
rnacentral:rRNA from 1 species